AAAAAUUGAGAUACAGCGGCGUUUUUGUAAAAAUGCCGCAAAAAACUUUACAUCGAAACAACAUCGUUCUAUUUUCACCCCCUCCCCUAAUCCCCAAUUUUACGCUGCUGAAAACCUUGAUUCUAUUCCCUUUGGUUUCACUGAUCAAAAUCCCCUUCUCAUAAAUUUUCUCUCUUGAAGAUUUCAUGCCUACCCACCUUUAAUCUUAACCAACGGAAGAGGCGCGGCGUGCAAUUUGACUGUUCCAAUUUCCUUUUCAACGUACAAUUAAAACCCUAGCCUCUUCCUUUUGCUUCUAUCGGGGGAGGGGGAAGGGAAUCAUGUCUUUCGAUAUCAUAUGCUGAAGCCGUCCUGCAGCAUCUGCUAUUGAAUCUGGAAGUCUAUCGUCCAUGCCAACUGUUUCCUUCACUAUCGGAGACAAAGUUUUCGACCUUUACCCUGAAGAGUAUAUUCUCAAGGUGGGUGAAGGUCCUCAAGCUCAAUGCAUCAGUGGCUUUACUGCUUUGUAUGUUCUUCCUCCUCGUGGACCCCUCUGAUUCACUCAUUGUUGCUGUCAAACCAAAGGCACUAAGUGGACUCGAUAUUGACGAUGAUGAGGAAGAUUUGAAAUUUCAGCUUCCACAAUCAACAAGUUGGUGGAAAAAGAAGCUUUACUCGUUUUUACUAAAUAGAUUGAAGCUUCCUGAUACUUGGAACUGGUUUUUGUACAAUUUUCUUGAACCUUGGACGGCGGCAACCUGGUGAUGUCAGUGCAUAUUCCAUCUUCAAUGAAGAUUUUAGAGAGCUUCCUGAGACCCU